GAGUUGGUAGCACAGUGGUAGAGUGCAUGCUUUGUAUGUAUGAUGUGGGUUCGAUACCAAGCUUCACCCCA